AUUGAACGCUGGCGGCAGGCCUAACACAUGCAAGACGAGCGAGCGGCGGACGGGUGACUAAUGUCUGGGAAAAUGCCUGAGGGCGGGGGAUAACUACUGGAACCGGUAGCUAAUACCGCAUACCAUCAGAUGUACCCAGAUGGGAUUAGCUAGUAGGUUGGGUAACGGCUCACCUAGGCGACGAUCACUAGCUGGUCUGAGAGGAUGACCAGCCACACGGGAAAUGAGACACGGUCCAGAAUCAUACGGGAGACAGCAGUGGGGAAUAUUGCAGAAUGGGCGCAAGCCUGAUGCAGCCAUGCCGAGGGAGUGAAGAAGGCCUUCGGGUUGUACAGCACUUUAAGCGGGGAGGCGUUACCCGCAGAAGAAGCACCGGCUAACUCCGUGCCAGCAGACGCGGUAAUAC
rnacentral:rRNA from 1 species